AAGCAACCCAGAGCCCUCCUCCCGCCUGCUCUGUGUAGGAGACAGCCUGCGGAGCCCACUGCCGGCGCGCAGAGAGCCCAGCAGCUCUUGAGUCCAGGAAGCAAGGGUGGGAGGAGGGACGAGCCAGUGGCAAUGACCCAGACCCGGACGACCCCCAUUGCUGAGCCAGCGGAGCUGCUUGGAGGCAGAGGUUGCAGUGAGCUGAGAUUUUGCGACUACACUCCAACCUGGGCAACAGAGCGGGACUCCAUUCCAAAAAAAUAAGAAAAACAGAAAAAUAAUAAUUACAUCUGCAAAGACCUUAUUUCCAGCAGGCAAGAAGAAUCUGUUGGAUGAUUACAACAUUGCUGGAUUGAUAGCAGCCUCACCUGCCAGGCUCAAACUCCAGAUCCAAAGUCCACAAAUAUAUCAUAAAUCUGAAGAGGAACUGGGAGAAGCUUCUGCUGGCAGCUCAUGCCAUUGUUGCCAUUGAAAACCCUGCUGAUGUGUCAUAUCCUGCAGGAAUACUAGCUAGUGGGCUGUGCUGAAGUUUGCUGCUGCUGCUGGAGCCACAUGUAUUGCUGGUCACUUCACUUCUGGAACCUUUGCUAACCAGAUCCAAUCAUCUUCUGCCACCCACAUCUUCUGGUGGUUACUGAUUCUAGGGCUAACUAUCAGCCUCUCUCAGGGGCUUCUUAUGGUAACCUACCUACCUACCACUGCUGUAUGUAACAGAUUCUCCUCUGAGCUAUGUGGAUAUUGUCAUCCCAUGCAACAACAAGGAAGCUCAAUCACUGAGUCUAAUGUAGUGGAUGCUGGCCCAGGAAGCUCUGUGCAUGUGUUGCACCAUCUCCCAUGAUCAUGCCUGAUCUCUACUUCUAUAGAGAUCCUGAAGAGAUUGAAAAGGAAGAGUAGGCUGCAGCUGAAAAAGGAGGAAUUUCAAAGUGAAUGGACUGCUGUAGUGCAAGUUUACUGCUACUCAAUCUGAGGUUGCAGACUGGUUUAAAGACAUGCAGGUGCCCUCUGUGCCUAUUCAGCAGUUCCCUACUGAAGAUUGGAGCACUUAGCCUACCAUGAAUGACUGGUCUGCAACUUCCACUGCUCAGACCACUGAAUGGGUAAGAAUAACCACUGAGUGGCCUUAAGCUGUUCUUCCACAAGCUCUUAAACAAGAUGGAAAUAACGCUGAUGGAAAUAAACAACAGUUUCCAAGAAAACACGAACAGCUGAAGUGGCAAUGUUUAAGUAACAUCUGGUAGACUUUAACAUGAAUGUUAUUAAGCAGGAAAUUAUGAUCUUUUAAGUUGGAACAUGUAAUGUUAAUCCUUUUGCACCAAAAUAUCUCUUUAAGUCUAAAUUAUCCACUUUUUUUUUUAAUUCUUCGUAGAGAUAGAGGUUUCGCUUUGUUGCCCAGGCUGUUCUUGACUUCCUAACUUCAAGCAAUCCUUCUGCCUCAGCCUCCCAGAGUGCUGGGAUUAUAGGCAUUUGCCACCGUGCCUGGUGUACCCAGUUUCUGUUAUCAACAGAAUGCAGUGGUGUAUGGUUGCUAAAGGGUCCCAAGAUCAGGACCUACGUUAAGGUGGAUUUUGAAUUAUUUAAAAUUCUGAUUUUGUUUUAUUUUUAAUUAAUCUUUGGGGGAAGGAUGGGAGGGGGGUGAGGGUUGAAGAAGUAAACAUUGUACCUAUUGGAUACAAUGUUUAAUAUUUGUGUGAUGGGCACACUGGAAGCCCAAACCUCACUAUUACACAAUACAUUCAUGUAACAAGCCUGCACAUGCACCUCCUGAAUCUAUUUUUAAAAAUUUAAUUCUCUAGCACAGACUCCCUUUUUUUGGUAAGAUGGCGGGGUACGACUUAACUACUCGCAUCACGCACCUUUUGGAUCGGCAUCUAGUCUUUCCGCUCCUUGAGUUUCUCUCUGUAAAGGAGAUAUAUAAAGAAAAGGAAUUAUUACAAGGUAAAUUGGACCUUCUUAGUGAUGCCAACAUGGUAGACUUUGCUAUGGAUGCAUACAAAAACCUUUAUUCUGAUGAUAUUCCUCAUGCUUUGAAAGAGAAUAGAACCACAGUUGUUGCACAACUGAAACAGCUUCAGGCAGAAACAGAACUAAUUGUGAAAAUGUUUGAAGAUCCAGAAACGACAAGGCAAAUGCGGUCAACCAGGGAUGGUAGGAUGCUCUUUGACUACCUGGCGGACAAGCAUGGUUUUAGGCAGGAGUAUUUAGAUACAUUCUACACAUAUGCAAAAUUCCAGUAUGAAUGUGGGAAUUACUCAGGAGCAGCAGAAUAUCUUUAUUUUUUCAGAGUGUUGGUUCCAGCAACAGACAGAAAUGCUGUAAGUUCACUCUGGGGAAAGCUGGCCUCUGAAAUCUUAAAGCAGAAUUGGGAUGCAGACAUGGAAGACCUUACAUGGUUAAAAGAGACCAUAGAUAAUAAUUCUGUGAGUUCUCCACUCCAGUCUCUUCAGCAGAGAGCAUGGCUCGUUCACUGGUCUCUGUUUUCUUCAAUCACCCCAAAGGUUGUGAUAAUAUUGUUGAUCUCUUCCUUUACCAGCCACAGCAUCUUAAUGUGUCCACACAUUCUUCACUAUUUGACUACAGCAGUCAUAGCAAACAAGGAUGUUCGAAAACGUUGGCAGGUGCUAAAAGAUCUAGGUAAAGUUACUCAACAGGAGUCUUACACAUAUAAAGACCCAAUUACAGAAUUUGUUGAAUGCUUAUAGAUUAACUUUGACUUAGAUGGGGCUAAGAAAAAGCUGAGAGAAUGUGAAUCAGUGCUUGUGAACGACUUCUUGGUGGCUUGUCUUAAGGAUUUCAUUGACAAUGCCCAUCUCUUCAUAUUUGAGACUUUCUGUCACAUCCACCAGUGUAUCAGCAUUAACAUGUUGGCAGACAAAUUGAACAUGACUCCAGAUGAAACUGAAAGGUGGAUUGUAAAUGUGAUUAGAAAUGCAAGACUGGAUGCCAAGAUUGAUUCUAAAUUAGGUCAUGUGGUUAUGGUAACAAUGUACUCUCACCCUAUCAGCAAGUGAUUGAAAAGACCAAAAGCCUUUCUUUUAGAAGCUAGAUUUUGGCCAUGAAUAUUGAGAAGAAACUUAAUGACAAUAGCAGGUCAGAGGCUCCUAACUGGGCAACUCAAGAUUCUGGCUUCUACUGAAGAAACAUAAGGAAAAGAUUUUAAAAAAACUCUAAAAGAAAGAUGAAAUAAUAAAACUAUUAUAUAAAGGGUGACUUACAUUUUGGAAACAACAUAUUGAGUGUAAAUUGUGAAGAAUUGGAAUAAAAUUGACUGAUUCAAAAAAAUUUAAUUCACAAAAAAAUUUUAAUCCUUUUAAGCUAAUUAUAGAUUCACAUGUAGUUGUAAGAAGUUACAAAGAGGCUAGGUGCAGUAGCUGACGCCCAUGAUCCCCGCACUUUGGGAGGCCGAGGCAGGCAGAUCUCUUGAGGCCAGGAGUUUGAGACUAGCCUGGCCAACAUGGCAAAACCCCAUCUCUACAAAAAAUUAGCAAAGCAUGGUGGCACAUGCCUGUAAUUACAGCUACUUGGGAGGCUGAGGCAUGAGAAUCACUUGACCUGGGAUUACAAGUGUAAUCCCAGCCAUAGGCUGGGUGCAGUGGCUCACACCUGUAAUCCCAGCACUUUGGGAGGCCAAGGUACGGGUGGAUCACCUGAGGUCAAGAGUUCAAGACCAGCCUGGCCAACAUGGUGAAACCCCGUCUCUACAAAAACACAAAAAUUAGCCGGGCAUGAUGGUGCGCACCUGUAAUCCCAGCUACUCAGGAGGCUGAGGCAGGAGAAUCGCAUGAACCCAGGAGGCAGAUGUUGCAGUGAGCCAAGAUCACGCCAUUGCACUCCAGCCUGGGCAACAGAGUGAGACUCCACCUCAAAAAAAAAAAAACAAAAAAAAACCACCAGCCAUUUGGGAAGCCAAGGCAGGAUUGCUUGAGACCAACCAGAAGUUCAAGGUUGCCUGGGCAACAGAGCAAGACUGUCUCGAGACAAAACAAAAAGUCAGCAUCUUCUGCCCACUUUUACUUUAACAUACAUUUAUGGAUCUAUUGUCUCUUUCCCUGUUCUAAAACUUUAAAUUUCACAAGAAUGAAGAUUUUGCUGUCUUGUUUCCUGCUGUGUCCCCAGCAUAAACAGCAUAAAGAAGUGCCAUAAGAUAGAAAUUUUUGUUUUCUGUUCACCAGUAUAUCCACAGCACCUAGAACAGCAUCUGCUUUAGACUUAUUAGAUGAAGACUUAAAAAAAAAAGGAACAGCACUUCUGCACAUAUUUAGCACUUGAUACAUAUUUGUGGAAUAAUUUCUAUCAUAACUAGCAGCUACUUCCUAAUUUGAUAUGUAGCAUCCCGUAUUAACAGGACUUUUGUGAAUGGAGAGGACAUCUAUUUAUUCUUUGUUAUGUGCCAAAUAUAUUUGUAUUAAUCAUAACUCUUAAUAUUCCUUUAAAAUUAAAUAAUUGUUUCCACAGCUCUUAAAAUAGAAUUUAGGAACCUAGCAACAUGCCACUCAUCCAUUAACAGUGAUAAAUUAUUUAAUUUUAUAAACUUUUCAUUAAAGUAACUGAUAUAGUUUGGA
rnacentral:lncRNA from 1 species